UCCUGUCACAGACCUGCACUGUGGCUUCGGCGGCCCCCUGGCCCGGGUGGCCACUGCCUCGCUGGACCAGACGGUGAAGCUGUGGGAGGUCUCCUCGGGCGAGCUGCUGCUGUCCGUGCUGUUCGACGUGGGCAUCAUGGCUGUGACCAUGGACCUGGCUGAGCACCGCAUGUUCUGUGGCGGCAGCGACGGCUCCAUCUUCCAGGUUGACUUGUGCUCUUGGCCCGGGCAGCGGGAGCGGAGCUUCCAGCCGGAGCAGGACGCCGGGAAGGUCUUCAAAGGGCACAGG